rnacentral:tRNA from 1 species
GGCGGCAUCGUCUAGCCUGGUCUAGGACACAGCCCUCUCAAGGCUGCGACACGGGUUCAAAUCCCGUUGCCGCUACCA